rnacentral:tRNA from 1 species
GGGUUUAUAGCUUAUGUUAAGAGCAUAGCAGUGAAGUUGCUAAGGAACUAAUUUUCAGUUAUUCCCA